GCUCCUGUCGUCUAGUUCGGUCAAGGACGUUAGCCUCUCACGCUAGAGACCCGGGUUCAAAUCCCGGCGGGAGCA
rnacentral:tRNA from 1 species